rnacentral:rRNA from 1 species
UGAGUAUGUGGUUAAUUCGAAGCAACGCGAAGACCUUACCAGGUCUUGACAUCCGAUGCUAUUUCUAGAGAUAGAAAGUUACUUCGGUACAUCGGUGACAGGUGGUGCAUGGUUGUCGUCAGCUCGUGUCGUGAGAUGUUGGGUUAAGUCCCGCAACGAGCGCAACCCCUAUUGUUAGUUGCCAUCAUUCAGUUGGGCACUCUAGCGAGACUGCCGGUAAUAAACCGGAGGAAGGUGGGGAUGACGUCAAAUCAUCAUGCCCCUUAUGACCUGGGCUACACACGUGCUACAAUGGUUGGUACAACGAGUUGCGAGUCGGUGACGGCGAGCUAAUCCCUUAAAGCCAAUCUCAGUUCGGAUUGUAGGCUGCAACUCGCCUACAUGAAGUCGGAAUCGCUAGUAAUCGCGGAUCAGCACGCCGCGGUGAAUACGUUCCCGGGCCUU